CGCCAGCACAGAGAGGCCACAGAAGCAAUGGAAGGUCCGCUUUCAAAGUGGACGAUGACCAGCAAGCAGCUGUACACACUUGGCUUUGCAAGCUGCUCUUCUACCAUGUACCAGCUCUUCCAGACCAGGCAGUGCUGUAGCCAGAAGAAAAGCUGCAGGGGCUACGGGUGCAGGUAAAGAACAAGGACCACUAUCUCGCUAUAUAGGAUUUCCUCAUUUAUAGGAUUUGCUGGAGCAAAUAAGCAGUUAUUAUAAACACUAACCAACGGACCCCAGCCUUUUAGUGCCACCAACCUCUCUGGCAGCCGAGGCAAGCCCACGGACCAUUCUCAAAACGGCAUUAAAAGCACAAGUUAAGUACACAGUACUGCAAAGGAAAGCAAUUACAGUAAAACAGUUAUCAAAAUAUCUUAAGUUCUUCCUGUAAGCAGCCUAAGGUCAUCUGUGAAAAUGGCUUCAACUGACCCAGAAAGCUCCAUAAAGUCAUGUAAAUCAAAGCUUUCAAAUUUUUGCUUCACUUUAAGAACACCCACGAGACUGGCCAGGUCAUCAAGGAUAUCCACACCUGAAAGGCCUGCAGGGUCCAAAAGUUUCCAUUCCAUUGUCACAGCGAUGGAGCUGGUAGCAUGCCCAGGCCAAGAAGUGGGUCUAAACAUAGGGCCCAGGGCCCAAAAAAGGACUGCAGAAUUUUUGCUAUACAUCCUUAAUACCGCAGAGAGUAAAGCUGAACUUCGGGGUUUAGGAAUAGAUUCUCUGGUCGCUGAACAUACACAGGUGAACAAAGCACCCAAGAUGCACCACGGCACCCACACCGAGAUGAUCCGGAACUGAAAAGGAGCAGAUGGCUCCUCAAUUGGAAGAUGAGGUUAUGAAGAAAACAGUAUCUCAGAAGAAACUGAAGAAACAAAAACUUAGGGCACAUGAAUAAAUCUGGCAUAAAAUAAAGGUAAAUAAAAGUGAAA